rnacentral:rRNA from 1 species
UACGUAGGCAGCAAGCGUUGUUCGGAGUUACUGGGCGUAAAGGGUGCGUAGGCGGCUUUUUAAGUCUGGUGUGAAAUCUCCCGGCUCAACUGGGAGGGUGCGCCGGAUACUGAGGGGCUAGAGUGUGGAAGAGGAAAGUGGAAUUCCUGGUGUAGCGGUGAAAUGCGUAGAUAUCAGGAGGAACACCGGUGGUGUAAACGGCUUUCUGGACCAUAACUGACGCUGAGGCACGAAAGCGUGGGUAGCAAACAGG